UGCGUAGGCGGCCCGGGAAGUUGGGUGUGAAAUCCCUCGGCUCAACCGAGGAACUGCGCCCAAAACUGCCGGGCUUGAGGGAGAUAGAGGUGAGCGGAACUUAGGGUGGAGCGGUGAAAUGCGUUGAUAUCCUAAGGAACACCAGUAGCGAAAGCGGCUCACUGGGUCUUUUCUGACGCUGAGGCACGAAAGCUAGGGGAGCGAAGAGGAUUAGAUACCCUCGUAGUCCUAGCUGUAAACGAUGAGCACUGGGUUGGAGGGUCCUCCAUAGCCCUCUAGCCGUAGCGAAAGUGUUAAGUGCUCCGCCUGGGGAGUAUGGUCGCAAGGCUGAA
rnacentral:rRNA from 1 species